rnacentral:tRNA from 1 species
CAGGGAGACAACACAAUGAUUUUGAUGCCUGAGUGCUUUUAUUCUUAGGCCGAAAUCCUGUCACCUUAGGUCGAUCGGUACCUCAGCUUUGAAGUCAAGGAUCAGCAGCAAUGUUGAUUGCUUGAUGGAGAUUUUCAGUUCCUAAACUUUGUCUAGGUCACACCCCAAAAGGGAUGAGACUCCUGGGCCAUUAGCUCAGGUGGUUAGAGCGCACCCCUGAUAAGGGUGAGGUCCCUGGUUCAAGUCCAGGAUGGCCCAUUCGGUGUUGGGGGUUUAGCUCAGUUGGUAGAGCGCCUGCUUUGCAAGCAGGAUGUCAGGAGUUCGAGUCUCCUAACCUCCACUGACCGAACUUGAUUCCCAUCUCCAAUUUUUUGGAGUUGAGCUCGAUUGGAGUGUGAUCUAGAUGUGUCCGCUGGAUGACCCCAGCUUCCUGUCAUUCCAAGUUUUAGGUUGAUGCCUUGAAUUUGGUUGAUAAGAUGCUGGGCUCGGAUCAAAUGAUCAAGCAAUUGAUGAUUUGAUUUGAAGUUCUAGCAGAACCUUGACAACUGCAUAGGUGAGUCUGGAAAAAACAAAGCAUCUUACAGAUGCAUUGUUUUGAAUCUGAUCUUCUGAAAGGGAGAUUGGAUCUAGAACAAUGAAAAUUCUUUUGAGCAAGAGCCGAGACUCUUGAGCGUUCUUUGAUUGGUGUCGAGCCAAUCAGAGUUUGAUCUUGUUUUUAGCAAUAAAAACUUGAGAAUCUGCUUUCAACGGCGGUAAGCGUUCAGGAGGUUAAUU